UACGAAGGGGGCUAGCGUUGCUCGGAAUUACUGGGCGUAAAGCGCACGUAGGCGGCUUUCUAAGUCGGGGGUGAAAUCCUGGAGCUCAACUCCAGAACUGCCUUCGAUACUGGAGAGCUUGAGUCCGGGAGAGGUGAGUGGAACUGCGAGUGUAGAGGUGAAAUUCGUAGAUAUUCGCAAGAGCACCAGUGGCGAAGGCGGCUCACUGGCCCGGUACUGACGCUGAGGUGCGAAAGCCAGGGGAGCGAACGGG
rnacentral:rRNA from 1 species